rnacentral:rRNA from 1 species
UACGUAGGGGGCAAGCGUUGUCCGGAAUUAUUGGGCGUAAAGCGCACGCAGGCGGUCUGCCAAGUUUGGAGUGACAGUUGGUGGCUCAACCACCGAAGUGCUUCGAAAACUGACAGACUUGAGGACUUCAGAGGGACACGGAAUUCCGGGUGGAGUGGUGAAAUGCGUAGAGAUCGGAGGAACACCGAAGGCGAAGGCAGUGUCCUGGGAGUACCUGACGCUCAGGUGCGAAAGCUAGGGGAGCGAACGGGAU